rnacentral:rRNA from 1 species
UCUCAAGGUUGACCUCGGAUCAGGUAGGGAUACCCGCUGAACUUAAGCAUAUCAAUAAGCGGAGGA